ACCCGCACAAGCGGUGGAUGAUGUGGAUUAAUCGAUGACAACGCGAAAACCUUACCUACCCUUGACAUGUCCGGAAUCCCGAAGAGAUUUGGGAGUGCUCGCAAGAGAGCCGGAACACAGGUGCUGCAUGGCUGUCGUCAGCUCGUGUCGUGAGAUGUUGGGUUAAGUCCCGCAACGAGCGCAACCCUUGUCAUUAGUUGCCAUCAUUUGGUUGGGCACUCUAAUGAGACUGCCGGUGACAAACCGGAGGAAGGUGGGGAUGACGUCAAGUCCUCAUGGCCCUUAUGGGUAGGGCUUCACACGUCAUACAAUGGUCGGUACAGAGGGUUGCCAACCCGCGAGGGGGAGCUAAUCCCACAAAGCCGAUCGUAGUCCGGAUCGCAGUCUGCAACUCGACUGCGUGAAGUCGGAAUCGCUAGUAAUCGUGGAUCAGCAUGUCACGGUGAAUACGUUCCCGGGUCUU
rnacentral:rRNA from 1 species